rnacentral:rRNA from 1 species
GAUGAACGCUGGCGGCGUGCCUAAUACAUGCAAGUCGAGCGAACAGACGAGGAGCUUGCUCCUCUGACGUUAGCGGCGGACGGGUGAGUAACACGUGGAUAACCUACCUAUAAGACUGGGAUAACUUCGGGAAACCGGAGCUAAUACCGGAUAAUAUAUUGAACCGCAUGGUUCAAUAGUGAAAGACGGUUUUGCUGUCACUUAUAGAUGGAUCCGCGCCGCAUUAGCUAGUUGGUAAGGUAACGGCUUACCAAGGCAACGAUGCGUAGCCGACCUGAGAGGGUGAUCGGCCAGACUGGAACAGAGACACGGUCCAGACUCCUACGGGAGGCAGCAGUAGGGAAUCUUCCGCAAUGGGCGAAAGCCUGACGGAGCAACGCCGCGUGAGUGAUGAAGGUCUUCGGAUCGUAAAACUCUGUUAUUAGGGAAGAACAAAUGUGUAAGUAACUAUGCACGUCUUGACGGUACCUAAUCAGAAAGCCACGGCUAACUACGUG